UAGCAGUUAGUGAAUGUACAGCAGUUAGACAGUGAUUAGAAGGCAACUAUAGCCAGUGUGGUUGAGCAGAGCUUGUGAGAGAGUGGACUUCUGAGAGUGAGUGACUGAGGUGUGCUAGUUGGUUUGUGUGGUGUGUCUUUGAGUCUGUGUGUUUGUGGUACAGUGGAGUAGGUAGAUAGGUGGACAGGUGUAGGUGAGGGAAAUGGAUCCCAAAAUUGUGAGGGAGCUUCUGGAGUUCAAACUCCACAAUCGCUAUCCUGAAGGAACAACCAGCAGGGAAAGGUUUACAAUCAAGAGAAGAGCUGAGACCUUCAGGAUAAAUGCUGAGUACAAUGGAUAAUGUCAUGUAAACCAUCAGAGUGUAGUAUUGUGCUGUAAUGUGAUCAUUUCUUUUUUUUUUCUGUUUUUUCUUGUCUUGCCUUACAUGCUUAAUGUAGAUGGAGACCUGUAUUAUAUAUGCAGGCGGAAGAAGAACAAAACUGAGCACCUGGCGAAAGUGGUCUGCUCUGCCAAAGAGGUUGCUCAGUACCCACAAUGCCAGUGUAAGCGGGCCAAUAUUAAGGAAAAGAAAGGAUACAUUCCAAUCGAGGUCACGGAGCCCUUUGAGCUCGUUGGAAUGGAUCUUGUGGGUAAACUAACCUUAAUGGAUGGUGGUAAUCAAUAUAUUUGUGUAAUGGUUGACUAUUUCACCAAAUGGGCAGAGACCUACCACUGAAAAACAAAACUGCAGAUGAGGUCACCAGUUGUAUUCUGGAUUUUUUUUUACAAAUUUGGUGCACCUAAAACUGCUAACAGACCAGGGCUCAGAGUUUUGCAACAAGGUCAACUAUGGCUUGUGUAAAACCCUGGGCAUCCAAAGAAGCCUCUGCUCACCAUUCCAUCCCCAAACCAAUGGCACAAGAUUAAAUGGAACAAUCCAGAGAUCCCUCAAUAAACUGGUGAGUGAAGAGCCCAAGAACUGGGACAAAUUUCUGCAGUCCACCAUGUUUGGACUGAGGACAAAAAAGCAGCUGACUACAAAAUACAGCCCAUAUUUCCUCAUGUUUGGCAGAGAGGCAAGGUAUCCAUCGGAGAUCCCAAAGGAAUACAAGAUUACAGAAGACAUGGUCACUAAAGUAAUUUCAAAUGAAGACGUGUGUGAGGGCCUACAAACCCAGGAGGUGGUAUACGCUGAAGUAAUCAAAAAUGUUAAAACCAUCCAAGACAAAAUCCGCAGGGGAAAGGCAAAAAGGGGAGAGGAGGAUGGCUUUCAGGUGGGAGACCUGGUUUUGUGCAAAAAUGUGAGGCAAGAGCAGAGAAAAGGCCAUCACUGGUGCAGUCUUGCUGUGACCCCAUAAAUGCAAUAACCAAAAUCUGGGCUGGGGAAAGGUGCUGUGGUCCAAAAUUGGGCCAUACAAGUUAUUUUCGGAAAACAUUGCUGACUUGGCCCCUGGGAAAGAGUUGGAAAGUGAGAUCAUAAAUGCUUAUUUGACACUGGUGAGGCAACAACACGCUGCAUUGAUUAUGGACUCCUAUUUCAUUACAUCAGUUUGGCAGGGGUCCACAAAAGGUUUCAGAAAGAUAAUUUAUCUAAAAGAGAUGCGGGUUGUCUUUGUUGACCCAUUUGGGGCAACACAAGCACAAAUGGAUAAGUGCAGGGAUGUAACAAGAGCUCUGGUUAGGAGAAAAUGUCCAGCCAUCGGCAAAUGGACGUGCUCAACUGUUGCCCAUCCAAAACAGCAGGACCUAACAUCCUGUGGCGUCUUUGUAUGCAAUCUUGCAGAACAAAUUCUUUCGGGGACCAAUAUACUCUACCCUGUUGACGAGGAGGGGGUUGAAAGGCUCAGACUGGACAUAGUACUCUCUCUGAUCCAAAACUCAGGUAUACCCGAGAAACGGCAUUUGGACCUCCAUUUAAAAUAUUUCUGUGUAUAUCGUCAUUGUGCCAUAUGUAUUUUUAGAUGACAUUUCCCAGCUAUGUCAUGCCUGUGGUGAGAGAAGCUCAGGUGCAGAAACCAAUGACUGGAUUGAAUGCACCUUCUGCGGAAAGUGGUACCACACAGUGUGUGUGGACUUCCCCUGUGCAGAAGGCGACUACAAAUGUUGUGGGUGCUAAAUAAAC
ensembl:lncRNA